rnacentral:lncRNA from 1 species
AAAUGUAAAGUCACUUGCAGGAGAAUUAGAACAUGGAAUUUGCUCUUCUGCCUAAACAUCGAAUCAGACAACUUUUAAGACAAAGGAUGGGGAAACUGAGGCUCUGAGGAAACGGGAAAAUAGGUUCUGGCAGAGAGAAUUCAAACAACUGCCAUAGGAAGUGGUUUCGAGCCUUCACAGGACACACAUGUUAAAGUGCCACAGUGGAACCUUGUCCUGGUGUGUGAUGGGAUUCUCAGGUCUCGAGAAGCCCAGUCUUAGAGGCAGGUCCAUCAGUGACUUUCACGGCAAAAAAAUUAAGACUGUAAUCUCCUUGAGGGCCAAGAUUCCUCUUUCUUAACCCCUCCCUACAUGCCCACUGGAA